UGGUGAGUAUUAAACAUACAAAAACAAAAGGCUGACUGUUUAACAUGUUUAAGACAAUACAAUAAUAAGCAAAACGCUAUGAAUAUCAUACCAUUUGUGAUGUUAUUAAUAUUGUGCUCAUAUUUGCAUAUUAAAUAAAAUAAACACUUUUCAUGUUAAAUUAACUUGUCUUCUGUUUCAGCUGCUGUGUACAAUUAUUCGACCCCCUACAUAACAGUUCAGUGCAUAAAUAAUUCCAUCCACAAGACAUCUUCCUUCAAUUGGUUGAAUAAAUUUUGGCAACUUGUUCUUCAAACAUCUUCUCUGUAUAUUUGAUAUGAUGGAGCCAUGUACAUGAAUGGAUAAAGCAGGUGUUUAUUUCGACAACAAACAUGACAAAGAUACUUUUUUUUCUAAAUUUCUCC
rnacentral:lncRNA from 1 species